AUGAACGCUAGCGGCAGGCCUAAUACAUGCAAGUCGAACGGUAAGCCCCUGCUUGCAGGGGACACGAGUGGCGCACGGGUGAGUAACGCGUUUGCAACCUACCUUUAACUGGAGGAUAGCCCCGAGAAAUCGGGAUUAAUACUUCAUAACACUAUGAAACGACAUCGUUUUAUAUUUAAAGCUCCGGCGGUUAAAGAUGGGCAUGCGUGACAUUAGCUAGUUGGUAAGGUAACGGCUUACCAAGGCAACGAUGUCUAGGGGUUCUGAGAGGAUGAUCCCCCACACUGGUACUGAGACACGGACCAGACUCCUACGGGAGGCAGCAGUGAGGAAUAUUGGUCAAUGGACGCAAGUCUGAACCAGCCAUGCCGCGUGCAGGAAGACUGCCCUACGGGUUGUAAACUGCUUUUAUAUAGGAAGAAUGUUAUCCACGUGUGGGUAUUUGACGGUACUAUAUGAAUAAGGAUCGGCUAACUCCGUGCCAGCAGCCGCGGUAAUACGGAGGAUCCAAGCGUUAUCCGGAUUUAUUGGGUUUAAAGGGUGCGCAGGCGGACUAAUAAGUCAGUGGUGAAAUCUCUCGGCUCAACCGAGAAACUGCCAUUGAAACUGUUAGUCUUGAGUAUAGUUGUAGUAGGCGGAAUAUAGCAUGUAGCGGUGAAAUGCUUAGAUAUGCUAUAGAACACCGAUCGCGAAGGCAGCUCACUAAGCUGUAACUGACGCUCAGGCACGAAAGCGUGGGGAGCAAACAGGAUUAGAUACCCUGGUAGUCCACGCCGUAAACGAUGAUUACUCGAUGUUGGCAAUACACCGUCAGCGUCCAAGCGAAAGCGUUAAGUAAUCCACCUGGGGAGUACGCUCGCAAGAUUGAAACUCAAAGGAAUUGACGGGGGCCCGCACAAGCGGUGGAGCAUGUGGUUUAAUUCGAUGAUACGCGAGGAACCUUACCUGGGCUUAAAUGUAGAGUGACCGUCCCAGAAAUGGGACUUUCCUUCGGGACAAUUUACAAGGUGCUGCAUGGUUGUCGUCAGCUCGUGCCGUGAGGUGUCGGGUUAAGUCCCAUAACGAGCGCAACCCCUAUCCUUAGUUGCCAGCGAGUAAUGUCGGGGACUCUAAGGAAACUGCCACCGUAAGGUGCGAGGAAGGUGGGGAUGACGUCAAAUCAGCACGGCCCUUACGUCCAGGGCUACACACGUGUUACAAUGGCCGAUACAAAGGGCAGCUACCAGGUGACUGGAUGCUAAUCUCGAAAGUCGGUCUUAGUUCGGAUCGAAGUCUGCAACUCGACUUCGUGAAGCUGGAUUCGCUAGUAAUCGUAGAUCAGCAAUGCUACGGUGAAUACGUUCCCGGGCCUUGUACACACCGCCCGUCAAGCCAUGGAAGCUGGGGGUACCUGAAGUCUGUCACCGCAAGGAGCGGCCUAGGGUAAAACUAGUGACUGGGGCUA
rnacentral:rRNA from 1 species